AGCGGCGGACGGCUGAGUAAUGCAUUGGAACGUACCCCAAACUGAGGGAUAAUCCACCGAAAGGUGGACUAAUACCGCAUGUGCCAUUCGUGGUAAAGCUACGGCGGUUUGGGAGCGGCCAAUGUUCGAUUAGCUAGUUGGUGAGGUAAUAGCUCACCAAGGCUACGAUCGAUAGCGGGUCUGAGAGGAUGAUCCGCCAGACUGGAACUGAGACACGGUCCAG
rnacentral:rRNA from 1 species